rnacentral:rRNA from 2 species
AAAAAAGGUAAGCUACUAAGAGCGAAUGGUGGAUGCCUUGACUGGUAAAGGCGAUGAAGGACGUACUAGACUGCGAUAAGCUACGGGGAGCUGUCAAGAAGCUUUGAUCCGUAGAUUUCCGAAUGGGGCAACCCAAUGUAUAGAGAUAUACAUUACCUAUAUAGGAGCGAACGAGGGGAAUUGAAACAUCUUAGUACCCUCAGGAAAAGAAAUCAAUAGAGAUUGCGUCAGUAGCGGCGAGCGAAAGCGCAAGAGGGCAAACCCAGUGCUUGCACUGGGGGUUGUAGGACUGCAAUGUGCAAGAGGUGAGUUUAGCAGAACAUUCUGGAAAGUAUAGCCAUAGAGGGUGAUAGUCCCGUAUGCGAAAAACAAACCUUAGCUAGCAGUAUCCUGAGUAGGGCGGGACACGAGGAAUCCUGUCUGAAUCCGGGUCGACCACGAUCCAACCCUAAAUACUAAUACCAGAUCGAUAGUGCACAAGUACCGUGAGGGAAAGGUGAAAAGAACUGAGGUGAUCAGAGUGAAAUAGAACCUGAAACCAUUUGCUUACAAUCAUUCAGAGCCCUAUGUAGCAAUACAGGGUGAUGGACUGCCUUUUGCAUAAUGAGCCUGCGAGUUGUGGUGUCUGGCAAGGUUAAGCAAACGCGAAGCCGUAGCGAAAGCGAGUCUGAAUAGGGCGCUUAGUCAGAUGCUGCAGACCCGAAACGAAGUGAUCUAUCCAUGAGCAAGUUGAAGCUAGUGUAAGAACUAGUGGAGGACUGAACCCAUAGGCGUUGAAAAGCCCCGGGAUGACUUGUGGAUAGGGGUGAAAGGCCAAUCAAACUUCGUGAUAGCUGGUUCUCUCCGAAAUAUAUUUAGGUAUAGCGUUGUGUCGUAAUAUAAGGGGGUAGAGCACUGAAUGGGCUAGGGCAUACACCAAUGUACCAAACCCUAUCAAACUCCGAAUACCUUAUAUGUAAUCACAGCAGUCAGGCGGCGAGUGAUAAAAUCCGUCGUCAAGAGGGAAACAACCCAGACUACCAGCUAAGGUCCCUAAAUCUUACUUAAGUGGAAAACGAUGUGAAGUUACUUAAACAACCAGGAGGUUGGCUUAGAAGCAGCCAUCCUUUAAAGAAAGCGUAAUAGCUCACUGGUCUAGUGAUUUUGCGCGGAAAAUAUAACGGGGCUAAAGU